GCCAGAGCUCGGCCCGGACUCGCCCAGCUGCACAUGAGGACACCUCGGGCCUGGGUUCUGGGUGUUCAGAGCUGUACUUUUUAAAGAUUUAUUUAUUUAUUUGAAAGGCAGAGUUACAGAGAGGUAGAGGGAGAGAGAGAAAGAGAGAGGGAGGGAGGGAGGGAGGGAGGUCUUCCACCUGCUGGUUCACUCCCCAAUUGGCCGCAAUGCCCAGAGCUGUGCUGACCUGGAGCCAGGAGUGUCUUACAGGUCUCCCACGUGGGUGCAAGGGCCAAGGACCUGGGCCAUCUUCUACUGCUCUCCCAGGCCACAGCAGGGGGCUGGAUCGGAAGUGGAGCAGCCGGGACUAAAGCUGGCGCCCACGUGGGAUGCCCACUCCGCCACAGUGCCGGGCCCAGAGCUGCACCUUCUUCCCCUUCCCGGUCGUGGGCUCCAGCAGAGGGGCGGCUCCUGGGCUCGCCGGCUGUGCUCGUCCCAGGAGCGGCCCUGCGUGCGGCUGAAGUCUGUUUCUUCUUUUUUAAGACCUUUAUUUAUUUUACUUGAAACGGCAGAGACAGAGAGAGGUCUUCCCCUCACUGGUCACUCCCCGCAUGGCCGCGCUGGCUGGAGCUGGGCAAUCCAAAGCUAGGAGACAGGAGCUUCUAACAGGUUUCCCACGCAGGUGCAGGGGCCUGUGUGCUUUCUACUGCUUUCUCAGGCCACAGCAGGCAGCUGGAUUGGAAGUGGAGCAGCUGGGACUCCAUCCCGCGUGGGACGCGGCACUGCGGGUGGCGGCUCUACCCGCUACGCCACAGCGCCGGCCCCUGAAGUCUGCUUCUUUUCCUAGGUCUUCGGGGCCAUUGAAGAGGAAAGCUCCCUGGGCUUCCCCGUCGGAGGGCCUGGACACAGCCUGGACGUGCACGGGAAGCUCUGUCGGGCCCGCGUUCCUGAGCUGCGCGUCACUCGCACGCCAGUGUGGACCUGUGCCGUGCCGCGUGCUGCCGGGCGCCAGUCUGAGCGUAAGUACAAGGCGGCGCA
rnacentral:lncRNA from 1 species